AUGGAAAAAGUGUGUUUGAGGAAGAAGAAGCUGCAUUUCUUCGCACUUCUCCUCCGUCGUCCACCACCGCAUCGGAGAAUUUUCUCCGCCGUGAAAUUACCUAUCGGAACACUUCUACCACCGUUUAAGUUAAAAAGAGGACUUUCGUGGUUUUAUUCUCAAGUUUUUAAAAAUUUCAUUUUUGGGCAACUCAGAUUCUGA